rnacentral:rRNA from 1 species
CAGUCGCCGCGGUAAAACGUAGGGUGCGAGCGUUAAUCGGAAUUACUGGGCGUAAAGCGGGCGCAGACGGUUACUUAAGCAGGAUGUGAAAUCCCCGGGCUCAACCUGGGAACUGCGUUCUGAACUGGGUGACUAGAGUGUGUCAGAGGGAGGUAGAAUUCCACGUGUAGCAGUGAAAUGCGUAGAGAUGUGGAGGAAUACCGAUGGCGAAGGCAGCCUCCUGGGAUAACACUGACGUUCAUGCCCGAAAGCGUGGGUAGCAAACAGGAUUAGAUACCCCAGUAGUCCCUGUCUCUUAUAA